rnacentral:rRNA from 1 species
AGCGAACGCUGGCGGCAGGCCUAACACAUGCAAGUCGAACGAAGCCUUCGGGCUUAGUGGCGGACGGGUGAGUAACACGUGGGAACGUACCUUUUGGUUCGGAAUAACGCAGAGAAAUUUGCGCUAAUACCGAAUGAGCCCUUCUGGGGAAAGAUUUAUCGCCGUAAGAUAGGCCCGCGUUGGUUUAGGUAGUUGGUGGGGUAAAGGCGCACCAAGCCUACGAUCCAUAGCUGGUAGGAGAGGAUGAUCAGCCAGACUGGGACUGAGACACGGCCCAGACUCCUACGGGAGGCAGCAGUGGGGAAUCGUGCGCAAUGGGCGAAAGCCUGACGCAGCCAUGCCGCGUGAAUGAUGAAGGCCUUAGGAUUGUAAAGCUCUGUCGGGAGGGACGAAGGGGAAGCCCUGACGGUACCUCGCAAGAAAGCACCGGCUAACUCUGUGCCAGCAGCCGCAGUAACAC